UUUGGAUAAUUAGUGGCGAUCCUGACUGUAUUCUUCAGCAAUGACUGAUGAGUACCUUCUUACCAAGAUAAGGAAACUGGGACACAAAGUUAUACAGUUUACUAAGGAUCAGAGUCAAUUGAAGGUGAAUACCUAGGAGUGGAAUUGCUGGAUCAUAUGGAAGCUCUAUCUUUAGCAGGCUGAGGAAUCUCCACACAGCGUUCCAUAGUGGUUGGACCAGUUUGCACUCCCACCAGCAAAAGAGUUCCUUUUUCUCCACAUCCUCGCCAACAUUUGUUGUUACUAGUUUUUCUAAUUUGUGCCAUUCUCCCUGGUGUAAGAUGGUAUCUCAUGGUAGUUUUGAUUUGCAUUUCCCUGAUUACAAGUGAUGUUGAACAUUUUUUUCAUAUGUCUUUUGGCCAUUUGCAUUUCCUCUUUGGAGAAGUUUCAUUUUAGCUCUUCUGCCCAUUUUUUGACUGGGUUAUUUACUUUGUUUUUGUUGAGUCUCAUCAGCUCUUUGUAGAUUUUUGUGCUAAGUCCUUUAUCAUUAGUGUUGUGUGCAAAAUUUUUCUCCCAAUCUUUGGGGUGUCUCUGUUUCGGUUACUGUCUCUUUUGCUGUGCAGAAGCUCUUUAAUUUGAUGUAGUCCCAGCUGUUUAUCUUUGCCUUCACUAUCACUGCUUUGGGUGAUGUGUCUUUAAAGAUAUUACUGAGGUGUAUGGCAUGUAGUGUUUUGCCUAUAUGUCCUAUGUAUUUUAUGGUUUCAGGUCUUAUGUCUAGUUCUUUAAUCCAUUUUGAGUUGUAUUUUGUGCAUGAUU